rnacentral:lncRNA from 7 species
GAUAUCCCGUAUUUAUUCUGUAACUCAGCAAUAACAGUGACUUUGCUGUUGUGAAAACACAAUAAACAGACUGCAGAGAGAAGGAACAGCAUUACAGACUCAAACCUUCUGCUUACAGAUAUCCAGAACACGUGAAGUAAGUUUCAAUCACUGAAUAAGCAAGAAGAGGCUUUUCUUUAAUGCAUCUCAGGCUCUCUUUGCUCUUUUUUUUUCUGACACGAUGACUUUAAUACUUUGAUGCUAACACCGUUAUUUAAAACAAAACAAAAUGGUUUUGCCACAACUGUUCACAGCACUCUACAGCGUGAGGGACCACGCUGUCCUCUGUGGAAAGGUGCACUGAAGUCCUAUCCCAUUACAUGUCUUGACUAGGUCUUACACGUGGAGGAAAAAUUAAAAGCAACAAGAGAGACCUAAGGGGAGGAUAGAGAAAGUUUCUCCCGUUAGAAAGAUCGCAUCCCCCGCUGAGGACACGCUGUAUCUCAAGGCUGCUUACAGCACAGCAAGGCAAAAUGCGCCGCGUCUCUUCUACGCUACGUUUAUUUAAAAGCCUUACGAAAAAGUAAUCUUUAUAAAUAGUAUAAAGAGCGAAACCACGAGGCUUCCACAGCUCAGUGUUCACUUGUCCGUAGAAAAACACAGACCUUUUGGAGAGGAGUUAUCAGGUCAAAUCCUAUCUGAACCUAGGGUGUGUGUACAGAGGGAUAUACGUAUCUAUAGGUUACAGGCAAGUGAGUAGUGUCGUACAGCAGCAUCCAUGGGACAGCAGCGGUCUUCUCUAACGAUGCCCACAGCUUCCGCUCCCCUCGGCCACUACUGUAUGAGAACUUCCAAGCACAGUUAAUUAGCAGCUGCGGGUCUCCUCCCGGCUGAGGGAACAUGCAUAGGAAUGCUCUGUAACUUCAGUUCUAAGAGCUGGAUCUGACACGUAACGCUGUAAAGAACUGUUAAAUGGUAAUUGGGGACCCGACACCGUCCCUCAGGAGGGGAACUCACUCCACUCCCACCCCGCGCACACCGCUGCGUAUCCGCGGAGCGCCGCCCGCCCCGAGAGUCGCCCCGGGGUGGGAUUUGGCAGUUCGGUCCAUCU